GAGUUUGAUCUUGGCUCAGAUUGAACGCUGGCGGCAUGCCUUACACAUGCAAGUCGAACGGCAGCACGGGAGCUUGCUCCUGGUGGCGAGUGGCGAACGGGUGAGUAAUGCAUCGGAACGUAUCCUGGAGUGGGGGAUAACGUAGCGAAAGUUACGCUAAUACCGCAUAUUCUGUGAGCAGGAAAGCGGGGGACCUUCGGGCCUCGCGCUCUUGGAGCGGCCGAUGUCGGACUAGCUAGUUGGUGAGGUAAAGGCUCACCAAGGCGACGAUCCGUAGCAGGUCUGAGAGGAUGAUCUGCCACACUGGAACUGAGACACGGUCCAGACUCCCUACGGGAGGCAGCAGUGGGGAAUUUUGGACAAUGGGGGCAACCCUGAUCCAGCCAUGCCGCGUGAGUGAAGAAGGCCUGGUUGU
rnacentral:rRNA from 1 species